rnacentral:lncRNA from 1 species
UGUGGAAAUCAAGACCACAGUGAAACCUGAAAUUCUAUUCCUAGGUUUACUCGGAAAUUAAGCUGUACGUAUGCAUGAGACUUUGAAAGUGAUAAUGUUCAAAUGCAUAAUGCUCAUGAGCUCCAAAAGGUGAAAACUAAAAAGGACAUCAAUUUUUCCUGUUUCCCUCUCUUGCAGCAAUGGUGACCUAGACCCGUGGUCAGGAGGUGGAGUCACCAAAGACAUCACAGACACCCUGGUGGCUAUCAACAUCCCUGAGGGGGCCCAUCAUUUAGAUCUUCGAGCCCACAAUGCCUUCGAUCCUUCCUCUGUGCUGUUAUCUCGCUUAUUGGAAGUUAAACACAUGAAGAAAUGGAUUGCAGAUUUCUAUAGCAAUUCUACUUGGAAGUCCUGAGCCACUUUUAAAAAAUAUUUUUUUUUUGUUUUCUUCUUAUAUGUUCCCUCCACCCACAUACCCAUCCACUUUUUUUUUUUUUAUAUGUAACUAUGUUCUCUCAUUAGUCAUUGUGUUUGUUGGGCCAAAGUUGAGACACAAGAGAGCGACAUGGGUGGGCACAGACAUCCCACCUAGGUGACUCCUCCUGUCUCACGGUCUUUGUGUCAUCAUGGCAGCUCACAGGCCAUCAGAACUGGCGUGGUUCCUCACUGCCUUUCACCAGAGGGAGAACCCUUCUCUCACCAGCGGGGAGGACUCCUUGGCUUUGAGGCUGAAGUCUCUCUGGUCCAUUGUAAGCCCCUAUUCGUGCCACAAAAGGGAAGGCAGAAGCUUGAUUAAAAACGCUGCAGCUGCCCUCUGGUAGGAUGUGGGAUGCCAGUCCAGGAAACGGGGCAGCUUCCUUUGAGCUCAGAGUGACUCUGAACUGGGCAGCCAUAAAGAGCCAGGCAGACCUACCUGUGAGUUGCUCCAGUCUCCCUCCAGCUGUUGGGAGGUCAGUGUGCCUGGGCUGGCUGCUUUUGGAAAGUCCUUUUUCUCUUUCCCACUUGGCAGCUCUCCUUAGUUCUGGGAUAUUUGCCACCGGUGGUACUGCCAGGAAGGAAUCUGGCCUUCUCCUGCUCUCUUUGUUUCCAAGUUCAAUUUUUUGCGGUGAUCUGGCUAAAUUCUGCCAAUUUAGGAAAAGUGCUUUUUUUUUUUUUUUUUUUUUUUUUUUUACUUUAAAAACUGGACAAAUUCUGUUAAUAAAAAUCCUUUAAAAAUAGACAAAUCUUCUAUUGAAAAAGUAGAAUGUACUUCUGUUUAUUUUGUAAGGAAAUUUUAUGUUCCAGUCAUUGUUUCAGGUAUUAUUAAAGCCUUCAGCGUCAGGAAACCAAGCAGCAGGUGUGUGGGGACUUUCCUGUGUAGCUUCCAGAAGGCCAGCCGAUAGUUCGAGCAGGCAGCGUAUUUGGCAUGAAUGAAUGGCAGAGUCUUCCCCUUUCCAAGGGCUUGGGACUUUCAAUAGCUUACACUGAGACCUUUCUUCUAAGGGACUUUUCUAGAUAGGAAAUAAGAUUGAAUCCAAACCUCUAAGGGACACAGACCAUCAGUUUCUUCUCAGCAGAAAGACCUCUUCCUCCCAGUAUUUUUUAUUAAGUUCUUCGUCAUGUUCUUACCAUGGUUUGGAAACAGAUCUUGCUUUUUAGAAACUACCCCUAGACCCCUGACAAGGUUUUAUUUUAUUAUUUCUUCCUUGUUUUUGAGAUUAUAAUAUAACUACAACAUUUCUAUUUUCUCCUUUUCUCCCUUUAAAUAGUCCCAUAUACCCCUCCGUGCUUUGAAUGCAUGGCCUCCUUUUUUUUUUAAAUUGUCACUGCAUACAUAUAUGUAUAUACAUAUAUGUUUUUCUAAAUGCAACCUGCACAAUCUAUAAAGUUACUUUGAUGAAUGCUCUCA